rnacentral:lncRNA from 1 species
AAAGUUUUAAGAUCAUUAGACUAUGGCACAAAGAGCAGCACACACAUAAAUUAUUAGAACAGUGAACCACAUAUGAAACAAACAGAGAACAUGUAUGGUAUCCCAAUUUCACAAUGAAUUAAACAGCAGUCUUAUGGGAGGUGCUUUUUACAAAAAUAAUUUCAUUAGAAACCUACCUCUUUCAGUGAAUGAAGCAAGAGAUACUGCUUCUUCUGUUGAUUGUCAAUCUGAUCCAAGAUGAAUGGCAAAUACUUGGAUAGAUUGCCAACAGCAAUGUUUCCAAGAGCAUACGAUGCUGCAGACUUUAUCUCCUCAAAAGGUGACUGGAACGACUCGAUGACAAUGUUCUCAAUUUGAACAUGAUUGCUGAGCACAUUUCUGAUCACCAGCUGCUAAGCAUAGCACAGCAACACACUGUGCAAUAGAGGAUAGUGCCUGCUUGGAAAGACCGCCUGACUGUGAUGGCUUGGCAGUUGAAAUAAGGGAGUCCAACAAUGUUUCAAAGCUUGUAUUUGCAGACUGGACCAGUCAAAAGGUGACUGGAACGACUCGAUGACAAUGUUCUCAAUUUGAACAUGAUUGCUGAGGUCCUUCCUUCUUCCAAUUUCUCCCAAACAUAACAAGGCCAUGUGUUGUUUAGCCUGAAAAACACAUUAUAAGCAAUUAAAAAUGACCAAGAGAAGGGCAUAAUAUAUCUUUGAGUCAAACAUAAGUAUGCAGUUAACCAAUAGUAAAUAAUAUUGAUUUGCAGAUGCCCAUANN